rnacentral:rRNA from 1 species
UUAAAUUGAAGAGUUUGAUCAUGGCUCAGAUUGAACGCUGGCGGCAGGCCUAACACAUGCAAGUCGAACGGUAACAGGAAACAGCUUGCUGUUUCGCUGACGAGUGGCGGACGGGUGAGUAAUGUCUGGGAAACUGCCUGAUGGAGGGGGAUAACUACUGGAAACGGUAGCUAAUACCGCAUAAUGUCGCAAGACCAAAGAGGGGGACCUUCGGGCCUCUUGCCAUCGGAUGUGCCCAGAUGGGAUUAGCUGGUAGGUGGGGUAACGGCUCACCUAGGCGACGAUCCCUAGCUGGUCUGAGAGGAUGACCAGCCACACUGGAACUGAGACACGGUCCAGACUCCUACGGGAGGCAGCAGUGGGGAAUAUUGCACAAUGGGCGCAAGCCUGAUGCAGCCAUGCCGCGUGUAUGAAGAAGGCCUUCGGGUUGUAAAGUACUUUCAGCGGGGAGGAAGGGAGUAAAGUUAAUACCUUUGCUCAUUGACGUUACCCGCAGAAGAAGCACCGGCUAACUCCGUGCCAGCAGCCGCGGUAAUACGGAGGGUGCAAGCGUUAAUCGGAAUUACUGGGCGUAAAGCGCACGCAGGCGGUUUGUUAAGUCAGAUGUGAAAUCCCCGGGCUCAACCUGGGAACUGCAUCUGAUACUGGCAAGCUUGAGUCUCGUAGAGGGGGGUAGAAUUCCAGGUGUAGCGGUGAAAUGCGUAGAGAUCUGGAGGAAUACCGGUGGCGAAGGCGGCCCCCUGGACGAAGACUGACGCUCAGGUGCGAAAGCGUGGGGAGCAAACAGGAUUAGAUACCCUGGUAGUCCACGCCGUAAACGAUGUCGACUUGGAGGUUGUGCCCUUGAGGCGUGGCUUCCGGAGCUAACGCGUUAAGUCGACCGCCUGGGGAGUACGGCCGCAAGGUUAAAACUCAAAUGAAUUGACGGGGGCCCGCACAAGCGGUGGAGCAUGUGGUUUAAUUCGAUGCAACGCGAAGAACCUUACCUGGUCUUGACAUCCACGGAAGUUUUCAGAGAUGAGAAUGUGCCUUCGGGAACCGUGAGACAGGUGCUGCAUGGCUGUCGUCAGCUCGUGUUGUGAAAUGUUGGGUUAAGUCCCGCAACGAGCGCAACCCUUAUCCUUUGUUGCCAGCGGUCCGGCCGGGAACUCAAAGGAGACUGCCAGUGAUAAACUGGAGGAAGGUGGGGAUGACGUCAAGUCAUCAUGGCCCUUACGACCAGGGCUACACACGUGCUACAAUGGCGCAUACAAAGAGAAGCGACCUCGCGAGAGCAAGCGGACCUCAUAAAGUGCGUCGUAGUCCGGAUUGGAGUCUGCAACUCGACUCCAUGAAGUCGGAAUCGCUAGUAAUCGUGGAUCAGAAUGCCACGGUGAAUACGUUCCCGGGCCUUGUACACACCGCCCGUCACACCAUGGGAGUGGGUUGCAAAAGAAGUAGGUAGCUUAACCUUCGGGAGGGCGCUUACCACUUUGUGAUUCAUGACUGGGGUGAAGUCGUAACAAGGUAACCGUAGGGGAACCUGCGGUUGGAUCACCUCCUUACCUUAAAGAAGC